rnacentral:misc_RNA from 1 species
AGACAAGCUUGUGUUCUGUUUCUGUUGAUGACGGUCAGUACACAAUGGUUGGUAGAGAGAAUGAUUUAGAUGCUUUUGCAAAUGAACUUUCGUUACUGACCGAGAGGCUGGAAGCACUGGAAGCAGAUAGGAUAUUUCUUGAACACACUAUUAAUCAACUAAAAAGCGGAGAUGAUGGGAUACAGUUUGUUCAGGAGAUAGCAUAUCAUCUCAGGGAAAUCCGUAGAAUCGGGAUCAGACA